rnacentral:rRNA from 1 species
CCCUUAGAUGCUCUGGGCCGCACGCGCGCUACACUGGUCGAUGCAACGAGUUUCUUUCCUUGGCCGACAGGCCUGGGCAAUCUUUGAACAUCGAUCGUGAUCGGGAUAGAUUCUUGUAAUUUUUGAUCUUAAACGAGGAAUUCCUAGUAAACGCAAGUCAUCAGCUUGCAUUGAUUACGUCCCUGCCCUUUGUACACACCGCCCGUCGCACCUACCGAUUGAAUGCUCAGGUGAGCCAUUCGGACUUUCAUCAUGCUGGUUUCCAGUUUUGAUGAAGGAAAGUCUUGCGAACCUUAUCAUUUAGAGGAAGGAGAAGUCGUAACA